CUCUGGUAUUGAUUGGUGCUUGCAUCAUGAUUUACAUUUGAGUGAGUGGCGAACUGGUGAGUAACACGUGGGAAACCUGCCCAGAAGCGGGGGAUAACACCUGGAAACAGAUGCUAAUACCGCAUAACAACUUGGACCGCAUGGUCCGAGCUUGAAAGAUGGCUUCGGCUAUCACUUUUGGAUGGUCCCGCGGCGUAUUAGCUAGAUGGUGGGGUAACGGCUCACCAUGGCAAUGAUACGUAGCCGACCUGAGAGGGUAAUCGGCCACAUUGGGACUGAGACACGGCCCAAACUCCUACGGGAGGCAGCAGUAGGGAAUCUUCCACAAUGGACGAAAGUCUGAUGGAGCAACGCCGCGUGAGUGAAGAAGGGUUUCGGCUCGUAAAACUCUGUUGUUAAAGAAGAACAUAUCUGAGAGUAACUGUUCAGGUAUUGACGGUAUUUAACCAGAAAGCCACGGCUAACUACGUGCCAGCAGCCGCGGUAAUACGUAGGUGGCAAGCGUUGUCCGGAUUUAUUGGGCGUAAAGCGAGCGCAGGCGGUUUUUUAAGUCUGAUGUGAAAGCCUUCGGCUCAACCGAAGAAGUGCAUCGGAAACUGGGAAACUUGAGUGCAGAAGAGGACAGUGGAACUCCAUGUGUAGCGGUGAAAUGCGUAGAUAUAUGGAAGAACACCAGUGGCGAAGGCGGCUGUCUGGUCUGUAACUGACGCUGAGGCUCGAAAGUAUGGGUAGCAAACAGGAUUAGAUACCCUGGUAGUCCAUACCGUAAACGAUGAAUGCUAAGUGUUGGAGGGUUUCCGCCCUUCAGUGCUGCAGCUAACGCAUUAAGCAUUCCGCCUGGGGAGUACGGCCGCAAGGCUGAAACUCAAAGGAAUUGACGGGGGCCCGCACAAGCGGUGGAGCAUGUGGUUUAAUUCGAAGCUACGCGAAGAACCUUACCAGGUCUUGACAUACUAUGCAAAUCUAAGAGAUUAGACGUUCCCUUCGGGGACAUGGAUACAGGUGGUGCAUGGUUGUCGUCAGCUCGUGUCGUGAGAUGUUGGGUUAAGUCCCGCAACGAGCGCAACCCUUAUUAUCAGUUGCCAGCAUUAAGUUGGGCACUCUGGUGAGACUGCCGGUGACAAACCGGAGGAAGGUGGGGAUGACGUCAAAUCAUCAUGCCCCUUAUGACCUGGGCUACACACGUGCUACAAUGGAUGGUACAACGAGUUGCGAACUCGCGAGAGUAAGCUAAUCUCUUAAAGCCAUUCUCAGUUCGGAUUGUAGGCUGCAACUCGCCUACAUGAAGUCGGAAUCGCUAGUAAUCGCGGAUCAGCAUGCCGCGGUGAAUACGUUCCCGGGCCUUGUACACACCGCCCGUCACACCAUGAGAGUUUGUAACACCCAAAGUCGGUGGGGUAACCUUUUAGGAACCAGCCGCCUAAGGUGGGACAGAUGAUUAGGG
rnacentral:rRNA from 2 species